UACAGAGGGGGCAAGCGUUGUUCGGAAUUACUGGGCGUAAAGGGCGCGUAGGCGGCCUUCUAAGUCGAACGUGAAAUCCCCGGGCUCAACCCGGGAACUGCGUCCGAUACUGGAAGGCUUGAAUCCGGGAGAGGGAUGCGGAAUUCCAGGUGUAGCGGUGAAAUGCGUAGAUAUCAGAAGGAACAUCAGUGGCGAAAGCGGGACUUCCUGGUCCAAGUACCGACGUUUCAGGCACGAAAGCGUGGGGAGCAAACAGGA
rnacentral:rRNA from 1 species